UGGGGAAUAUUGCACAAUGGGGAAAGACCCUGAUGCAGCGACGCCGCGUGAGCGAAGAAGUAUUUCGGUAUGUAAAGCUCUAUCAGCAGGGAAGAAAAUGACGGUACCUGACUAAGAAGCCCCGGCUAACUACGUGCCAGCAGCCGCGGUAAUACGUAGGGGGCAAGCGUUAUCCGGAUUUAUUGGGCGUAAAGCGAGCGCAGGCGGUUUUUUCAAGUCUGAUGUGAAAGCCCUCGGCUUAACCGAGGAAGCGCAUCGGAAACUGGGAAACUUGAGUGCAGAAGAGGACAGUGGAACUCCAUGUGUAGCGGUGAAAUGCGUAGAUAUAUGGAAGAACACCAGUGGCGAAGGCGGCUGUCUGGUCUGUAACUGACGCUGAGGCUCGAAAGCAUGGGGAUCGAACAGGAUUAGAUACCC
rnacentral:rRNA from 1 species